UCGGAACGUGCCCAGUCGUGGGGGAUAACUACUCGAAASAGUAGCUAAUACCGCAUACGAUCUGAGGAUGAAAGCGGGGGACCUUCGGGCCUCGCGCGAUUGGAGCGGCCGAUGGCAGAUUAGGUAGUUGGUGGGAUAAAAGCUUACCAAGCCGACGAUCUGUAGCUGGUCUGAGAGGACGACCAGCCACACUGGGACUGAGACACGGCCCAGACUCCUACGGGAGGCAGCAGUGGGGAAUUUUGGACAAUGGGCGAAAGCCUGAUCCAGCAAUGCCGCGUGCAGGAUGAAGGCCU
rnacentral:rRNA from 1 species